AAAUGGUUAAUUGGAGAAUGUAGAAGAUAAUUUGUUUGGGCCUUAGGCCCAAAACGAAUCCACUAUCACAACACAGGGAGCGUGAUUCUGAAACGAGCGACAUUAACAAGAGAGAAAAAUUUAGGACUCACCGCCGAUGAUGCACGCGGAAGAGCUUCGGACGCGUGAUUAUUCUGGAGUCUCCUUCACGUCUUCUCCACAACUUCUCUCGUUCAAUCGUCGUCGAAAAAAUCGUCACCCGGUGGUCGUGCAAUGAAGACAACGAAAAGUGGAGAAUCGCUUCGAAGAAUGAUGAAGAAUGAUGGAUCGACGAUGAAGACGACGAACAGUGAAUCUCUUCCGAUGUGUGACUCCGCUAUCUUCGAUGGAGCUCGAGGUCGAAUCUCCCUCCCUACUCCUAUUUCUUCUUCGUCUAUUGUCGUUCGCCGGAGCUCGGACUCAAAUUCGUCGCCGUGGUGCAUCGACCUCUGUUUGCGGUUUGGAUCCGCUUCAAUCUUUUAUGGAUCACGUUGUUAUUAUGUAGAUGAUUGUGGUGAGUUUGUCGACUAUGUUAACGGUCGCGUAUGGUCGUGGUUGGAGGGAAUCACGGCGGUUGAAGCGGUUGAGUUAUGGUGCGAUCGGUAGAGUUGCGAUGGAGUGGAAGAUUGGGAGUUUUGCAACCGAAUUCGGGUGAGUUUCUGUUGUGCGUUGUCGUCUGUUUGUGGUUCGUCGUGGAGGUUGAAGCGGUUGAAGCAGUGAAGGUUGAAGCGUGGUGGUUCGGCGGCGUGAAGAAGAGAUGGUGAAGGAGUUUUGUGAAUGAAACGGUUGAAGGUGAUGGAGGGUGAAAACUCCAAAUAGUUAGGAUACCAGAUCAUAUUGUGAGGAAAUGGAAAUGAAAAUCUGGAAAAAAAAUGGAGCCCCCGAACUUGAGACUUGCAGGGUAUUUAUAAGCUUGCGCUGAUUUUGGCGGUUGCUUGACUUUCAGCCGUUUUGGGUUGCUGGCUUGUGAAUGAGCUACAACAGCUUUUGGCUGCAACUUUUAUUUUUCUUAAUGCAUACUAAUAAAUGUACAGUGGAUAUUUGGAUGAUAUUUAGAUGAUGGUUACUAAUGUAAUGGAUUUGGUUAAUUGAACAAGUGGCUUAAAAAUGGAUUUAAAAUGGAUUUGGAUA